CCACCUCUAAACCAUAUAUAUUCAUGUAUGGGACAAUAUAACAAAUAAGAUGAAAUAUAGGGGGAGUCCCUUGGGUCACCCCACCCCCUCCUGUUUGGGAAUUUGAAACCCGUUGAGAUCGCCAACCCUUAACCAUAUAUUUAUGUACGGGACAAUAUAACAAUUCAAAUGAAAGAUAGGGGAGUCCCUGAGGUCACCCUACCCCCAGUGGCGGAUCCAGAAAUUUUCAUAAGUGGGGGCCCGCUGACUGACCUAGGAGUCACGCUUCAGUGAUUCCCUAUAUAAGCAACCAAUUUUUUUCUCCAAAAAUGAGGGGGGGCGGGCCCCCUUCCACCCUAAAUCCUCUGCCUACCCCUACCUGUUUGAGAACUUGAAAACCGUUGAGAUCCCCACCCCUAAAUUAUAUAUAUUCAUAUGUAUGGGACAAAAUAACAAAUCAUUUACAUUUACUAUGGGCAGGUCAGUCAGACCUCACCUUUGAUCCCUGUUGUAGUGAACAGUUGUCUGAUUCGUGUCUCAUACCUUUUGUACUAUAGAACACAAAACUCAGUUUUCUUUCCAGGGAAACCAGUCCAUUCAUACUAUUACAUGUUCAUACUAAGUCAACUUGAACUUCUAGCAGUCAAAUAAAAC
rnacentral:lncRNA from 1 species